rnacentral:ncRNA from 2 species
GAACACUACUAGGGGUGCCUAUGAAACAGGCUGAGAGGAAUAAGAUUCCAACCCUUCGGACCUGAUCUGGGUGAUGCCAGCGUAGGAAAGUAGUCAAAAAUGGGA